GACGAACGCUGGCGGCGUGCUUAACACAUGCAAGUCGAACGGAAAGGCCUCUUUCGGGGGGUACUCGAGUGGCGAACGGGUGAGUAACACGUGAGUAACCUGCCCUUGACUUUGGGAUAACUUCAGGAAACUGGGGCUAAAACCGGAUAGGAGCUCCUGCUGCAUGGUGGGGGUUGGAAAGUUUCGGCGGUUGGGGAUGGACUCGCGGCUUAUCAGCUUGUUGGUGGGGUAGUGGCUUACCAAGGCUUUGACGGGUAGCCGGCCUGAGAGGGUGACCGGCCACAUUGAGACUGAGAUACGGCCCAGACUCCUACGGGAGGCAGCAGUGGGGAAUAUUGCACAAUGGGUGGAAGCCUGAUGCAGCAACGCCGUGUGCGGGAUGACGGCCUUCGGGUUGUAAACCGCUUUCGCUCAUGACGAAGCUUUGUGUGACGGUAGUGGGUAAAGAAGCACCGGCUAACUACGUG
rnacentral:rRNA from 1 species